CAAAGUGAAAGACGGUCUUGCUGUCACUUAUAGAUGGAUCCGCGCUGCAUUAGCUAGUUGGUAAGGUAACGGCUUACCAAGGCAACGAUGCAUAGCCGACCUGAGAGGGUGAUCGGCCACACUGGAACUGAGACACGGUCCAGACUCCUACGGGAGGCAGCAGUAGGGAAUCUUCCGCAAUGGGCGAAAGCCUGACGGAGCAACGCCGCGUGAGUGAUGAAGGUCUUCGGAUCGUAAAACUCUGUUAUUAGGGAAGAACAUAUGUGUAAGUAACUGUGCACAUCUUGACGGUACCUAAUCAGAAAGGCCACGGCUAACUACGUGCCAGCAGCCGCGGUGAUACGUAGGUGGCAAGCGUUAUCCGGAAUUAUUGGGCGUAAAGCGCGCGUAGGCGGUUUUUUAAGUCUGAUGUGAAAGCCCACGG
rnacentral:rRNA from 1 species